CCUACGGGUGGCAGCAGUGAGGAAUAUUGGUCAAUGGGCGCGAGCCUGAACCAGCCAAGUAGCGUGAAGGAUGACUGCCCUAUGGGUUGUAAACUUCUUUUAUAAAGGAAUAAAGUGAGGCACGUGUGCCGCUUUGUAUGUACCUUAUGAAUAAGGAUCGGCUAACUCCGUGCCAGCAGCCGCGGUAAUACGGAGGAUCCGAGCGUUAUCCGGAUUUAUUGGGUUUAAAGGGAGCGUAGAUGGGUUGUUAAGUCAGUUGUGAAAGUUUGCGGCUCAACCGUAAAAUUGCAGUUGAUACUGGCAGUCUUGAGUACAGUUGAGGUAGGCGGAAUUCGUGGUGUAGCGGUGAAAUGCUUAGAUAUCACGAAGAACUCCGAUUGCGAAGGCAGCCUGCUAAACUGCAACUGACACUGAUGCUCGAAAGUGUGGGUAUCAAACAGGAUUAGAUACCCUUGUAGUC
rnacentral:rRNA from 1 species